AGCUGAAGAUGAUGAUAAGAAUGCUGGGUGAUGAUCAAUUUCAAAUGAUCAAAACAUCUCCUUGCUGCGUUCUUUCUGAUUCACAU